rnacentral:rRNA from 1 species
UACGUAGGGGGCUAGCGUUGUCCGGAAUCAUUGGGCGUAAAGAGCGCGUAGGCGGCCAGAUAAGUCCGGUGUGAAAGUCAAAGGCUCAACCUUUGAAUGCCGCUGGAAACUGUCUGGCUAGAGUCCGGAAGGGGCGAGUGGAAUUCCUGGUGUAGCGGUGAAAUGCGCAGAUAUCAGGAAGAACACCCGUGGCGAAGGCGGCUCUCUGGGACGGUACUGACGCUGAGACGCGAAAGCGUGGGGAGCGAACAGG